rnacentral:rRNA from 1 species
AGGACGAACGCUGGCGGCGUGCUUAACACAUGCAAGUCGAGCGGAAAGGCCCUUCGGGGUACUCGAGCGGCGAACGGGUGAGUAACACGUGAGCAAUCUGCCCCUAGCUCUGGGAUAGCUCCGGGAAAACCGGGAUUAAUACCAGAUACAACCACUUUAGACAUCUUUUGUGGUGGAAAGGAUUCCGGCUAGGGAUGAGCUCGCGGCCUAUCAGCUUGUUGGUUGGGGUAACGGCCCACCAAGGCGACGACGGGUAGCCGGCCUGAGAGGGCGACCGGCCACACUGGGACUGAGACACGGCCCAGACUCCUACGGGAGGCAGCAGUGGGGAAUAUUGCGCAAUGGGCGAAAGCCUGACGCAGCGACGCCGCGUGGGGGAUGAAGGCCUUCGGGUUGUAAACCCCUUUCAGCAGGGACGAAGCGAAAGUGACGGUACCUGCAGAAGAAGCACCGGCUAACUACGUGCCAGCAGCCGC